rnacentral:misc_RNA from 1 species
CUCUCUCUCUCUUUCUUUUUUUUUGGUCGUUGUUGUUGUUGGGAUGUGGCUUAUCUUGAAUGGUGUGAUGCAGGUUUUGGAUCUCAUGGUUCGAAUGCUGGGAUUCUCUGAUGAAGAUAAGCAGCGAAUAGGUGUUGCUCAACAAGGUGGCAGAGGUGUUGUUCGGGGAGUUUUGGGACUACCUGGCCGCCUAGUUGGUGGAAUCUUGGGAGGAAGUUCAGCUGAUGCACGUGCUAAUGCAGCAUCUGAAAACCAGGUAUCUUCUCUUAUCCUUAAUACUAGUGAUUAAUAACUGACCUGCAAACAAAUAAUUUGGUUAGGUCAAGGGCUUUUUAUUUGUUCUGUUCUAGUUUUACUCAGUUUUGUUUGUGGUAUCUUAUUGCUCAUUUUUCUCAUUUAUUGAGUGAUCUUUUUUAUUCAAGUUGAUUUGAGCUCAUUUAUUAUGCAAUUGUGCUUUCGAUUGGUUUUCUUAGCUAUCAUAAAUUUGGUGCUUCAGAUUUUCCAAUCAGUGUGCUUUAUGCUGUUUUCUGAAUUUGAAUCCUAGUUGAAUAAAUUGUUGUGAGCUUGAUUUAUUUAUUUAUUUAUUUUGUACUCUCCAAUAAGUAUACUUAACAGUACAAAAAAUGCUUGGGCUUGUUGCCUUGACAGUACACUGUCUGUUUUGCUCGCAACUCAGAUUUUAUGGAGCUAUUCACCACAUUGCCAAAGCUGUGCAAUCUCUGUUAAACUUCUCUCUUUCUCUCUCUCUCUC